rnacentral:rRNA from 1 species
GACGAACGCUGGCGGCGUGCUUAACACAUGCAAGUCGAACGGAAAGGCCCUGCUUUUGUGGGGUGCUCGAGUCGCGAACGGGUGAGUAACACGUGAGUAACCUGCCCUUGACUUUGGGAUAACUUCAGGAAACUGGGGCUAAUACCGGAUAGGAGCUCCUGCUGCAUGGUGGGGGUUGGAAAGUUCCGGCGGUUGGGGAUGGACUCGCGGCUUAUCAGCUUGUUGGUGGGGUAGUGGCUUACCAAGGCUUUGACGGGUAGCCGGCCUGAGAGGGUGACCGGCCACAUUGGGACUGAGAUACGGCCCAGACUCCUACGGGAGGCAGCAGUGGGGAAUAUUGCACAAUGGGCGGAAGCCUGAUGCAGCAACGCCGCGUGCGGGAUGACGGCCUUCGGGUUGUAAACCGCUUUCGCCUGUGACGAAGCGUGAGUGACGGUAAUGGGUAAAGAAGCACCGGCUAACUACGUG